AGUCAAUAGAUACCCUGGUAGUCCACGCUAGUAAACGGUGGAUACUAGGUGUUGGUGGUUUAACGCCAUCAGUGCCGAAAGCAAAAACGCGUUAAGUAUCCCGCCUGGGGACUACGGCCGCAAGGCUAAAACUCAAAGGAAUUAGACGGGGGACCCGCACAAGCAGCGGAGCGUGUGGUUUAAUUCGAGGCUACACGAAGAACCUUACCUGGGCUUGACAUGGUCGUAGUAGUGAAGCGAAAGCGGAACGACCCUUCGGGGAGCGAUCACAGGUGCUGCAUGGCUGUCGUCAGCUCGUGCCGUGAGGUGUUGGGUUAAGUCCCGCAACGAGCGCAACCCUUUGCCGUUAGUUACAAGUGUCUAACGGGACUGCCGGUUUAACACCGGAGGAAGGUGGGAUGACGUCAAGUCAGCAUGGCCUUUAUGUCCA
rnacentral:rRNA from 1 species